rnacentral:lncRNA from 1 species
AGUCUAUAUCGGCUCUAAUGAGGAGACAACAGUCUAUAUAGUCCCUAAUUAGGAGACAACAGUCUAUAUAGACCCUAAUGAGGAGACAACAGUCUAUAUAGGCCCUAAUGAGGAGACAACAGUCUAUAUAGGCCCUAAUGAGGAGACAACAGUCUAUAUAGACCCUAGUGAGGAGACAACAGUCUAUAUAGGCCCUAAUGAGGAGACAACAGUCUAUAUAGACCCUAAUGAGGGUCUAUAUAGACUGUUGUCUCCUCACUAGGACUAUAUAGACUGUUGUCUCCUCACUAG